rnacentral:rRNA from 1 species
AGAGUUUGAUCCUGGCUCAGGAUGAACGCUAGCGGCAGGCUUAAUACAUGCAAGUCGUGGGGCAGCAGGGGUAGCAAUACUCGCUGGCGACCGGCAAACGGGUGCGGAACACGUACACAACCUUCCUUAAAGUGGGGAAUAGCCCAGGGNAAACUUGGAUUAAUACCCCGNUAAUAUUAUUAGAUGGCAUCAUUUGAUAAUUAUAGCUCCGGCGCUUAAAGAUGGGUGUGCGGCUGAUUAGGUAGUUGGCGGGGUAACGGCCCACCAAGCCUACGAUCAGUAACUGGUGUGAGAGCACGACCAGUCACACGGGCACUGAGACACGGGCCCGACUCCUACGGGAGGCAGCAGUAAGGAAUAUUGGUCAAUGGACGCAAGUCUGAACCAGCCAUGCCGCGUGGAGGAUGAAGGUCCUCUGGAUUGUAAACUUCUUUUAUCUGGGAAGAAACCCAAGGUUUCUACUUUGGUUGACGGUACCAGAUGAAUAAGCACCGGCUAACUCCGUGCCAGCAGCCGCGGUAAUACGGAGGGUGCAAGCGUUAUCCGGAUUCACUGGGUUUAAAGGGUGCGUAGGUGGGCUAGUAAGUCAGUGGUGGAAUCUCCGGGCUUAACCCGGAAACUGCCAUUGAUACUAUUAGUCUUGAAUGUCGUGGAGGUAAGCGGAAUAUGUCAUGUAGCGGUGAAAUGCUUAGAUAUGACAUAGAACACCGAUAGCGUANGCAG